rnacentral:rRNA from 1 species
GACGAACUGUCCUAACGUUGUUCGGAAUCACUGGGUGUAAAGGGCGCGUAGGCGGCCGCUUGCGUCGGAUGUGAAAGCCCGGGGCUCAACCCCGGAACGGCAUCCGAUACGGGGCGGCUCGAGACCGAGAGAGGUGAGUGGAAUACCCAGUGUAGAGGUGAAAUUCGUAGAUAUUGGGUGGAACACCGGUGGCGAAAGCGGCUCACUGGCUCGGUUCUGACGCUGAGGCGCGAAAGCGUGGGGAGCAAACAGG